rnacentral:rRNA from 1 species
UGUCUGCGUGUAGAGAAUACGGAGUCUAGCCUGCCCACUGGGUGUGUUGAAGGGCUGCGGUAAUUUGACCGUGCGAAGGUAGCAUAAUCAGUAGUUUUUUAAUUGGGAACUGGAAUGAAAGGUUGGACAUAAAAUAAUCUGUCUUUAUUUUGGAGUUAGAAUUUAACUUUUAAGUGAAAAGGCUUAAAUGAAUUAAUGGGACGAUAAGACCCUGUAAAACUUUUAUAUAAAGUUACUUUUUUUGAUUUAAUUUAUUAAUUAAAGUUGAUUUUUAUUUUACUGGGGCGGUAAUAGUAUAGACGAAACUAUUAAUGGUUUUAAAUAAUUAUGUUUAGAGGGCUGAUCCUUUAGAUAAGGAUUAUAAGAUUAAGUUACUUAAGGGAUAACAGCAUAAUAUUUUCUAGAAGGUCUUAUUUACGAAAUUUGUUAUGACCUCGAUGUUGAAUUAAAGUAAUUUUUAGGUGUAUAAGUUUAAAUAAUUAGUCUGUUCGACUAUUAAAUCUU